GGUUUUGUGGCGGUUUUGAGGCAGUGAUGUCCCCCGCUCUUGAGCGGGAAUGGUUCGCGCGGCUCUCGCUAGCUCCUUCUGUUCCACGAGCGCGAGACGAGCAGCAGCGAUUCAUUCAACUCCAACUAAAGCGCUUAAAGAUGACUGCAGCAGAGUGUUUGGCGCAGGAGAGGAUCUGGUUCGAUAAGCCACAUUACGAUGAAGCGGAACGGCAAUUUUAUGAGCGGAUGAAUGGACCCACGCAGCCCAAACAA